rnacentral:rRNA from 1 species
AUUGAACGCUGGCGGCAGGCCUAACACAUGCAAGUCGAACGAGUGGCGGACGGGUGAGUAAUGUCUGGGAAACUGCCUGAUGGAGGGGGAUAACUACUGGAAACGGUAGCUAAUACCGCAUACCAUCGGAUGUGCCCAGAUGGGAUUAGCUAGUAGGUAGGGUAAAGGCUCACCUAGGCGACGAUCCCUAGCUGGUCUGAGAGGAUGACCGGCCACACUGGAACUGAGACACGGUCCAAACUCCUACGGGAGGCAGCAGUAGGGAAUAUUGCACAAUGGGCGAAAGCCUGAUGCAGCAAUGCCGCGUGAAUGAAGAAGGCCUUCGGGUUGUAAAGUUCUUUCGGCGGGGAAGCGUUACCCAAAGAGAAAGCACCGGCUAACUCCGUGCCAGCAGCCGCGGUAAUUC